AGUGAACGCUGGCGGUAGGCCUAACACAUGCAGGUCGAACGGCAGCACAGUAAGAGCUUGCUCUUACGGGUGGCGAGUGGCGGACGGGUGAGGAAUACAUCGGAAUCUACUUUUUCGUGGGGGAUAACGUAGGGAAACUUACGCUAAUACCGCAUACGACCUACGGGUGAAAGCAGGGGAUCUUCGGACCUUGCGCGAUUGAAUGAGCCGAUGUCGGAUUAGCUAGUUGGCGGGGUAAAGGCCCACCAAGGCGACGAUCCGUAGCUGGUCUGAGAGGAUGAUCAGCCACACUGGAACUGAGCCACGGUCCAGACUCCUACGGGAGGCAGCAGUGGGGAAUAUUGGACAAUGGGCGCAAGCCUGAUCCAGCCAUACCGCGUGGGUGAAGAAGGCCUUCGGGUUGUAAAGCCCUUUUGUUGGGAAAGAAAAGCAGCAGGUUAAUACCCCGCUGUUCUGACGGUACCCAAAGAAUAAGCACCGGCUAACUUCGUG
rnacentral:rRNA from 1 species